AGAGUUUGAUCCUGGCUCAGGACGAACGCUGGCGGCGUGCUUAACACAUGCAAGUCGAACGGAAAGGCCCUGCUUUUGUGGGGUGCUCGAGUGGCGAACGGGUGAGUAACACGUGAGUAACCUGCCCUUGACUUUGGGAUAACUUCAGGAAACUGGGGCUAAUACCGGAUAGGAGCUCCUGCUGCAUGGUGGGGGUUGGAAAGUUUCGGCGGUUGGGGAUGGACUCGCGGCUUAUCAGCUUGUUGGUGGGGUAGUGGCUUACCAAGGCUUUGACGGGUAGCCGGCCUGAGAGGGUGACCGGCCACAUUGGGACUGAGAUACGGCCCAGACUCCUACGGGAGGCAGCAGUGGGGAAUAUUGCACAAUGGGCGGAAGCCUGAUGCAGCAACGCCGCGUGCGGGAUGACGGCCUUCGGGUUGUAAACCGCUUUCGCCUGUGACGAAGCGUGAGUGACGGUAAUGGGUAAAGAAGCACCGGCUAACUACGUGCCAGCAGCCGCGGUGAUACGUAGGGUGCGAGCGUUGUCCGGAUUUAUUGGGCGUAAAGGGCUCGUAGGUGGUUGAUCGCGUCGGAAGUGUAAUCUUGGGGCUUAACCCUGAGCGUGCUUUCGAUACGGGUUGACUUGAGGAAGGUAGGGGAGAAUGGAAUUCCUGGUGGAGCGGUGGAAUGCGCAGAUAUCAGGAGGAACACCAGUGGCGAAGGCGGUUCUCUGGGCCUUUCCUGACGCUGAGGAGCGAAAGCGUGGGGAGCGAACAGGCUUAGAUACCCUGGUAGUCCACGCUGUAAACGGUGGGUACUAGGUGUGGGGUCCAUUCCACGGGUUCCGUGCCGUAGCUAACGCUUUAAGUACCCCGCCUGGGGAGUACGGCCGCAAGGCUAAAACUCAAAGGAAUUGACGGGGCCCCGCACAAGCGGCGGAGCAUGCGGAUUAAUUCGAUGCAACGCGUAGAACCUUACCUGGGUUUGACAUGGAUCGGAAGCGCUCAGAGAUGGGUGUGCCUCUUUUGGGGUCGGUUCACAGGUGGUGCAUGGCUGUCGUCAGCUCGUGUCGUGAGAUGUUGGGUUAAGUCCCGCAACGAGCGCAACCCUUGUUCACUGUUGCCAGCACGUUAUGGUGGGGACUCAGUGGAGACCGCCGGGGUCAACUCGGAGGAAGGUGGGGAUGACGUCAAGUCAUCAUGCCCCUUAUGUCCAGGGCUUCACGCAUGCUACAA
rnacentral:rRNA from 1 species